GGGGAGUUGUCCGAGUGGCUUAAGGUGCGGCUCUCGAAAAGCCGUGUACUUUUAACGAAGUACCGUGGGUUCAAAUCCCAUGCUCCCCG
rnacentral:tRNA from 1 species